rnacentral:rRNA from 1 species
AUGCGGCGGCGGUUCAUCAACCCGGUGAUGAAGGAUUACGCCGUCGACGGCUCCUACUGGCUCAGCCGCAUGAGGCCCCAAGAAAACCUCUUCUACGCGUCCACGGUGGAAGCAAUGGCGGCGCAGGCGCAGGCCAGGAAGGAUAAACUCAACGCGAUGCUGCCGUUCGGGAGCACCCUGGAGCUGCCCCCGCCGGCGGCCAGAUUCAAGUCAUCCUGCACGGACUGCCUGACGCUCGACUUCAUGCCUUUCUACGGGCGAGACAGCCCCAGCGAGGGCAGGAUCGUCGCGCUCGACUCGACCGGGCACACCGUCCUCUACGACGCCGACGGCGACCCUUGCUCCGUCGAGGCGCUGCCCCGCGUCAACUCCUCCAAUUGGCGAACUCCCAUCUCCCUGUGCGUCACCGGCGCCGACGCCAACGCAGCCGCCCGGGACUCCGGUCGCUCCGACGUGCUCUACGGCAUCAACAUGUUCAACUCGGGCGACUUCGAGGCGCUCGUCCACUGCAACCCCGGGAGGAUUGAUGGAGCUAAAGCUUGGCACUGGCUCAAGCUCCCGUCGCCGCCCUACCUUGAUAAUCCAGGUCUGGAUCACACCAUCCAUUCCCACACGCUGCUCGAGGACGGCAAAACCAUCUGCUUCUCCUCGCGCCGCGACAAUGGCGGCUUCGGCACCUACUGCUUCGACACGUCCAGCUACGAGUGGACCAAGGCCUGCCGCUGGGCGCUGCCCUUCAUCGGCCGUGCCUGCCACGUCCCUGAGCUCUGCAACCUCUGGUUCGGCUUCAACAGCAACAACCCAAACAACAUCUGUGCUCUUGAACUCUCUGAGCUUGACAGUCCUCCCAAGGUGCUGCACGAGUGGCGAGGCUUCAACACUCCCAGGAACUGGAUGCUGGUUAACAGCACCAUGGUUUACCUGGGGGGCAACAGGUUUUGCGUCGUCAGGCUCUUUGGCGUUUACAAUGGACCCCCGGACAGGAACGAUGAGCCGACUGACACGGUUUCUAUCAUCACCGGCCUGGAGAUUGUCAAGGGACAAACAAGUGAAACCGUGCUGCGCAUGGUCAAGCACAAGAGCAGAACUUACGUCUUCGAAGGCUGUGGCAUUUAG